GCAAGAGGCCAUCCUCUUGUAUUACCAAACCUAUAUAAAGCUGGAAAAUGAGGCAUCUCUCUCAUUGCUGUCAAGAGGAAGAGGAUUCAAGAAAUCUUUCCUUACCAGAAGCGUGAAGUAAGAUGGCACAGUUCGAUGCAGGUCAUGUGGUGAUAAUGUCCCAGCCUACCUCUGCCAGGCAAAACAACUGGGGCACUGGACUGUGCAGCUGUUUCGAUGAUGUGGGAGUAUGUUGCUGUGGGACGUUCUGUACAAUUUGCCUUGGCUGUCAGGUUGCAGGGGACAUGAACGAGUGUUGUCUCUGUGGGACUUCCAUGGCUAUGAGAACCCUCAUCAGGACAAAGUACUCCAUAACUGGAAGUCUCUGUAACGAUUGGCUGGUAACCAUGUGUUUCCUCCCGUGUUCUCUCUGCCAACUUAAAAGGGAAUUAAACAGUCAUCACUGAUAUGAUCAGUGUUCAUCGCACGUACAUUGCAUUUCAUGUGGGAUAUCAUUGGCAGAACAACUGAAAUGACCAGAAUGACGAUAUAAAGAGGAUUGAUUGAUAUUGUAUGUGUUGAAUGUCACUGUGUUUGCCCCGGCUCCAAUUCAUGGAUUCUUCAGAAGAGAAAUGUCUUUAGCAAUGUACUGUCUCCCUUUCAGCCUGAAAAACUGAAGUCAUUAUCUUCAUAAUGGCAUCAC